GGGAUAACCUUGCGAAAGUAAGACUAAUACCCAAUGAUAUCUCUAGAAGACAUCUGAAAGAGAUUAAAGAUUUAUCGGUGAUGGAUGGGGAUGCGUCUGAUUAGCUUGUUGGCGGGGUAACGGCCCACCAAGGCGACGAUCAGUAGGGGUUCUGAGAGGAAGGUCCCCCACAUUGGAACUGAGACACGGUCCAAACUCCUACGGGAGGCAGCAGUGAGGAAUAUUGGUCAAUGGACGAGAGUCUGAACCAGCCAAGUAGCGUGCAGGAUGACGGCCCUAUGGGUUGUAAACUGCUUUUAUAAGGGAAUAAAGUGAGUCUCGUGAGACUUUUUGCAUGUACCUUAUGAAUAAGGACCGGCUAAUUCCGUGCCAGCAGCCGCGGUAAUACGGAAGGUCCGGGCGUUAUCCGGAUUUAUUGGGUUUAAAGGGAGCGUAGGCCGGAGAUUAAGCGUGUUGUGAAAUGUAGACGCUCAACGUCUGCACUGCAGCGCGAACUGGUUUCCUUGAGUACGCACAAAGUGGGCGGAAUUCGUGGCGUAGCGGUGAAAUGCUUAGAUAUCACGAAGAACUCCGAUUGCGAAGGCAGCUCACUGGAGCGCAACUGACGCUGAAGCUCGAAAGUGCGGGUAUCGAACAGGAUUAGAUACCCUGGUAGUCCGCACGGUAA
rnacentral:rRNA from 1 species